CGUUUUCCUUGCUGCUGCCUUGUGAAGACGGUGCCUUGCUUCCCCUUCAACCGUGGCGUUAAGUUUCCUGAGACCUCCCCAGCCAUGGUGAACUCAUAAAAUAUACACAUAAAACAGUAAAACGGGAGAGACAGUGUUGACAGUGGAUGAAGCCAGGUUGACGUGACUGAGAGGCAGGUUUCAACAUUAGGAAAAAAAACAAAGACCACACUUACUCCUCUGGAGAUACAUGGGUGAUCUUUCAAGAGACCAUCAGAAAGAGGCUGCUUGGGUGCCGUCCGAGGAGAGACAGAAGACUGAGCCGUGGCGUACGCUAUUAUCUGAUGCAACAGCCUUUUCUGCAGGAUAUUAAAGGUCUUUAUAAAUAUUAAUUAUCUCAUUCAUCCUCAUCACUUUGUGUGAGCCAAAGACAUUAUAGAUGGCCAGUCACCCAUUUCACUAGGCUAAGUAUCUAAAGCCACCUUCCACAUGUAAUCAUUAGCAUUUCAAAAUACUUUCACCUCUUUAUUAUUCAGAGAUGUUGAGUUUAUGAAAGACUCGGUCCUUUUUGGUUCUUUCUGCCCCACAUUAAUAAACACCUUUGAAUUACUAAAC